GCCCUACAUCUCUCAGAGGCGGGA
rnacentral:snRNA from 1 species